rnacentral:rRNA from 1 species
GUCGGGGAAGCGAAUGAGCUGCCGGUGGCGCCGGUGUCGUCAGGCGUCCCGGCGGACGCUCUGUGGUGGUUGUCUGACCCCUCUGGGGGGAGUACUGCUGGGAGACCGUCCCGCCGGGCCUGGCUGCAUUGAUGCCGGGGCUUGGCCAGCACCGGUUCGUAGCUGCGGGAGAAGCGUUUGGCUGGGUAGCUUGUCGAGGUGGUCCCUGCCUCGCCGAUGGCCUGCCGAAACUGUUGCCUGCCUAGAACCGAGGUGAGUCGGCAUCCAUUGCCCUUGCGGUGCGAGCCUGAAGCUGGACGGCGUUGCUGCACUGCCGGGCCUCCCCUGGACUGCUUGCAGUGCUGGGGCUGUGCCUUGCGGGUGGUGCCGGAAUGUGCGGUCACAAUGCGCACCGAGGGUGCUGGCCUGAGAUGUCUCAUCCGACCCGUCUUGAAAA